rnacentral:tRNA from 1 species
GGAGUUGUAGCUCAGCCGUAGAGCGCUUGCCUCGUACGUGUGAGGCCCUGGGUUCAAUGCCCAGCACCA